AUUGAACGCUGGCGGCAUGCCUUACACAUGCAAGUCGAACGGCAGCACGGGAGCAAUCCUGGUGGCGAGUGGCGAACGGGUGAGUAACAUAUCGGAACGUGCCCAGUAGUGGGGGAUAGCCCGGCGAAAGCCGGAUUAAUACCGCAUACGACCUACGGGUGAAAGCGGGGGAUCGCAAGACCUCGCGCUAUUUGGAGCGGCCGAUAUCAGAUUAGCUUGUUGGUGGGGUAAAAGCCUACCAAGGCGACGAUCUGUAGCUGGUCUGAGAGGACGACCAGCCACACUGGGACUGAGACACGGCCCAGACUCCUACGGGAGGCAGCAGUGGGAAUUUGGACAAUGGGCG
rnacentral:rRNA from 1 species